rnacentral:rRNA from 1 species
AACGAACGCUGGCGGCGUGCCUAACACAUGCAAGUCGAACGAGAAAGCGGGCUUCGGCCCGCCGGUACAGUGGCAGACGGGUGAGUAACACGUGGGUAACCUGCCCGGAGGUGGGGGACAACUCUCCGAAAGGAGAGCUAAUACCGCAUGACAUCCGCGGAGCGACAGCUCUGCGGAUCAAAGCUAGCCUCUACAUGUAAGCUAGCGCCACCGGAGGGGCCCGCGGCCCAUUAGCUAGUUGGUGAGGUAACGGCUCACCAAGGCAACGAUGGGUAGACCGGCCUGAGAGGGCGAUCGGCCACACUGGAACUGAGACAC